ensembl:lncRNA
AUGGGCUCUCAAGAGCAUCAUGAAUAUGAGGAAGUAGGAGGUCCUAGGAGAUUGGAGGACAUGGGACCCCUGUAUGAUGAAUGGAACCCCGACGAUGAACCAUGGAUCAAUGAAUAUGCACAUGUCUACCAAGGAUUUGGAAGAUGGCCAGCUGCCUCCACAAAGACAGCACCAAUCUAUGACUCGGUAGCAAACUAUCUGCCCCUGGAUACAGAGCUGCCUUUUGAGCAACAAGGGGAAUUGGUCUAAGUAAGCUGCUCGGUGUUUCUUUGACCCACUGUCCAAAAUUGUGUUGUCUCCUGGUAACUCUUAGUUCCUUCUUUUUAUGCUACAUUCCUUAUGCAUGUAGAGAUGCCAAAUCCAGUGCUGCGGCCUUUGGGUGGAUUCACACAACGUAACUAAGCCUGGAUUAGCGAGACACAAUUGCUGAGGUUGCAAAAAAAAUGAUGUGCUCAACAUACAAAGGAUAAUGUGACGCCUUUGUUUUGACUGCUGGUCGGAUUCUUAGAAAUCAAGUGUAAAAUGUUUGGCAAAACAGCCGAGGGCUAGCUUUCUCCUUUUUCCCUACUGCAAAUGAUGCUUUGAGUCCUCCCCAGCUGUUACUUUGCAUGGCUAAUUCAACUGUUUUAAUCUGGGUUUAAUAAAAACUGCAACUUUAAGACUUGCUACCUAAGCUUGAGGGUUGUUGUUGCUGUUUUUCACCCCCUUCCCCAACCUGCCUCUCCCUUCACUUGUGUGUGUGUGUGUGUGUGUGUGUUGUCUUUUGUAGCUAAACCUCAGGGCAAGGACUUUUCCACCACUCAGCUGGAGUUUUCUUUUGGCUUAACAAGCUAGGUUCAAAAUGCAAGAAAUCCAUAAAAUAUAAAUAAGCCGAAGGCAGACCACACAUGGCUCGCCGGGGAUGGGAAGGAUACCAUAAACCAGAGACAAGUGUAGAGUUGUUUUUUUUUAAGGAGGUUUAUUACACUUCUGCUCCAAUAGCAUAUGUUCCAUUGUAAAGCCAGCUUGCUCUUUUCUUUGGUUAAGUUGUCUACCCUUGCAAGCUUUCAUCAUGUCGAACACAGAGGGAUGCAUAGGAGCAUAGCAGACCCCAAACAGACGGGGUGAAAGCACAAGACAUCUAUUCCCAACCAUGACAAGGUUAAAAUGAUGAAGCAAAGCAUCUUGAUGCAAACCCUGCCCUCUCGAUACCGGCGUUGUGGGAUCACAACCGAGGGCAGAGUUUGCAACGCGACAUGAUUUCAUCCCUUGCCCUCCCGCCUCUGUCAGAUGCCGACAGCUGAAAAUACCUUGUCUGCUUUGCAUUGGUGGGCAAUGGUCACACACUGGAGGCUUAAUUAAGGUGGCUACUAAAUGAACCCACAUUGUGGGUUUGCAUUCUUGAGCCAGGGUUCCUACGGGUACCCGUUAGAUGUAAAGAACUAACCCCAGGAAAAAGCUAACCAAGCAUUGUUGGUUGAGGUAGUCCUCAACUGGUGACAGUUCAUUUAAGUGACCACUCAAAGUUACAACGCACUGAAAAAUGUGACUUACGACCAUUUUUCACAGUUCUUGGCAACCCUAAAGCUGACCUGACUGAAGCCAUUUUUUUACUGCUUCAGUGUUGCCACACUGGAGCUGAGGGAUAGGGAGGGGGGAAUUUGAGAUAGAGGGGAUUCUGUAGCCAAAACCAAGUUUUAUCUCUUGGGAACCAAGGGCAUUCUCACACCUGGUCAGAGGAAGGCAGAGUGAUGCUAUCCGGCUGGCCAGUCCGGGGCUGUGAUUGGACCAUGUGACUGAUUGUUUGGAGAAAAUAGAAAAACUUUUACUUUUAAUUAGGUGAAAACUACGGGAGUUUUCAGAGUCAGUUUUCACCAGAUCUGUGCCAAUGUGAUCUUUCCAAUAAAGUUGUUCUUUGAGGAAUCUACUUGCCUUAGAGCAGGGAUCCCCAAACUUGGCAACUUUAGGAUUCUGGGAGUUGAAGUCCACAAGUCUUAAAGUUGCCAAGUUUGGAGAUCUCUGCCUUAGAGUUUUGCUUGCUAUGGAUCUAUUACUUGGAACCCUGACAGUUAUGACCUUUGCAGCAUCUCCACAGUCAUGUGAUCAAAAUUCAGAUGCUUGGCCACUGGUUCUGUCAGCCUUCAAGAUUCCUUUCCUUUGCUUCACAUCUUUUGGCUAUCACAGUGACAGGGGAGAGGGAUGAAAUAAUUGGGUUUUGUAGGUGUGGGAAAUGUGCUGGAGGUUUAGAGAAUGAACUGUAUAAAUAGGGGGAAAACAUUGUUUAUGCUUACUUGCUGUGCAAUGCGCAGGUGCAACUCUUUAUCAAAGUAGGCCAAGGUCAACAGACAGAUUUCUGCGUCACCACCUGAAGAUACCCACAUGACAUUAUCUACAACUUUAAUUGGAUGGACAGUUUGAAUUAUGUUGGAUGGGAACGUUGACAUCACUUUGUAUAUGUGUUUUUCGCGCGCAAUUCCUCAGAUUCAGAAUUCUUUUGAUGCUACCACUUGAUUUCCAGUAAAAGAUAUUUUUCUCUAUAUUAAUGGAGUCUAAGCGUUUCUUUCUUGGAUUUUGAAUGGAGCACCACCUGACAGGUUCCUAUUUAUGACGGUUGCAGUGCCCAGAGAUCACGUGAUCCCCUUUUGCAACCUUCCGACAAACAAAAGUGCAUGGGAAAGCCAGAUUCACUUAACAACCAGGUAGCUAACUUAUCAACUGCAGUGAUUCACUGAACAACCGUGGCAAGAAAAGUUGUAAAAUGAGGCAAAACUCACUUAACGAAGCCGGAUGGGAAGGUCACAAAUUGGCAGUCACGUGACCCCG